rnacentral:rRNA from 1 species
UACGAAGGGGGCAAGCGUUGUUCGGAAUGACUGGGCGUAAAGGGCGCGUAGGCGGUUCGUUGCGUCAGAUGUGAAAGCCCCGGGCUCAACCUGGGAACUGCAUUUGAUACGGGCGAGCUUGAAUCCAAGAGAGGGUGGUGGAAUUCCCAGUGUAGAGGUGAAAUUCGUAGAUAUUAGGAAGAACACCAGUGGCGAAGGCGGCUCACUGGCCCGGUACUGACGCUGAGGCGCGAAAGCGUGGGGAGCAAACAGG